rnacentral:misc_RNA from 1 species
GAAAUGCGAUAAGUAAUGUGAAUUGCAGAAUUCAGUGAAUCAUCGAAUCUUUGAACGCACCUUGCGCUCCUUGGUAUUCCUUGGAGCAUGCCUGUUUGGGUAUCAUGAAAUCUUCAAAGUAAAUCUUUUGUUAACUCAAUUGGUUUCUACUUUGGUAUUGGAGGUCUUUGCAGCUUCACACCUGCUCCUCUUUGUUCAUUAGCUGGAUCUCAGUGUUAUGCUUGGUUCCACUCGGCGUGAUAAGUUGUCUAUCGCUGAGGACACUGUAAAAGGUGGCCAAGGUAAAUGCAGAUGAACCGCUUCUAAUAGUCCAUUGACUUGGACAAUACUUUUAUGAUCUGAUCUCAAAUCAGGUAGGACUACCCGCUGAACUUAAGC